rnacentral:rRNA from 1 species
CGCGGCCUAUCAGCUUGUUGGUGGGGUGAAGGCCUACCAAGGCGACGACGGGUAGCCGGCCUGAGAGGGCGACCGGCCACACUGGGACUGAGACACGGCCCAGACUCCUACGGGAGGCAGCAGUGGGGAAUAUUGCGCAAUGGGCGGAAGCCUGACGCAGCGACGCCGCGUGAGGGAUGAAGGCCUUCGGGUUGUAAACCUCUUUCAGCAGGGACGAAGCGAGAGUGACGGUACCUGCAGAAGAAGCACCGGCCAACUACGUGCCAGCAGCCGCGGUAAUACGUAGGGUGCAAGCGUUGUCCGGAAUUAUUGGGCGUAAAGAGCUCGUAGGCGGUCUGUCGCGUCGGCUGUGAAAACUCGGGGCUCAACCCCGAGCCUGCAGUCGAUACGGGCAGACUAGAGUGCUGUAGGGGAGACUGGAAUUCCUGGUGUAGCGGUGAAAUGCGCAGAUAUCAGGAGGAACACCGGUGGCGAAGGCGGGUCUCUGGGCAGUAACUGACGCUGAGGAGCGAAAGCGUGGGGAGCGAACAGGAUUAGAUACCCUGGUAGUCCACGCCGUAAACGGUGGGUGCUAGGUGUGAGCGGUAUUCCACGCCGUUCGUGCCGCAGCUAACGCAUUAAGCACCCCGCCUGGGGAGUACGG